AGCGAACGCUGGCGGCAGGCCUAACACAUGCAAGUCGAACGAACUCUUCGGAGUUAGUGGCGGACGGGUGAGUAACACGUGGGAACGUGCCUUUUGGUUCGGAAUAACUCAGGGAAACUUGUGCUAAUACCGAAUGUGCCCUUCGGGGGAAAGAUUUAUCGCCAUUAGAGCGGCCCGCGUCUGAUUAGCUAGUUGGUGAGGUAACGGCUCACCAAGGCGACGAUCAGUAGCUGGUCUGAGAGGAUGACCAGCCACACUGGGACUGAGACACGGCCCAGACUCCUACGGGAGGCAGCAGUGGGGAAUCUUGCGCAAUGGGCGAAAGCCUGACGCAGCCAUGCCGUGUGAAUGAUGAAGGUCUUAGGAUUGUAAAAUUCUUUCACCGGGGACGAUAAUGACGGUACCCGGAGAAGAAGCCCCGGCUAACUUCGUG
rnacentral:rRNA from 1 species